rnacentral:lncRNA from 1 species
ACAAUAAAAAAGAGAAUUCCUGAGAAACAAACAUGAAACCCAUCAUUUGACCCUCUAUAGUUCGAUUAGUUUCUGCUUUUCAAAUCACAUUUUUAUCACUCAUGAGCAUAUGUUUUAUCCACGAUAUUGUAAUUUUAUCAUACACAUUAUCAAUAACACAUACUUCUCGUCCCUACUGAUAUUAUGUCUCUACAGAUAUUAUAACAGGUGCUUUACUAAUUGCCAAGAUUCAAUUGUAUUGACCCCUCCUGCUACCAAACUUAUCCAUCCCAAUAUGAAUUGAACAACACUGACACUUGUUUUCACUAUUUCUCUUCUUUCUGAACAACUCAUUCAAAAAAUGAGCUUCAUUGAUAACAGUUCUUGCCCUGAAAUAUAAUGACCUCUUAUAACAAAACAAUUUCAUAGUAGAUCCCAUCUAUGUCCCAGUAUGUUCCAAUCAUACUGAAGAAAUUUAGAUCCUGUCUCACUUUUUAAAAAGAAAUUCUAUCAUCUCUUCAACAUCACAUGUUCAUUAGUCAUUGCCUAAACCCAUUGAUCAUAAAAAGAUAGUCUUUGUUCUCCCCAUAUUCAUAUCCAUAACAUAUGAAAAUACAACUCUUUUUACCAAUAUUUUUCAACGCAUCACAAAUAGUCUCAUUAUUCUACAUUGUAACCAAAUGUCCAAAUAUUCUUUUAUCCAUUUUGCUCCGAUCUCAGCACACUUUACUCACAGUCAGAAAUUAUUAACUAAAGUAAUCGGUCCGCACUUUCUUUAAAUAUUUAAAUAUAUAAACAACUAAACAUCGUGGGAUCAUUUUUAGUUUCCUUAGGUCGAGACCAUGACAGAAGGAAUCAAAGUUUGUUCCCAAUGUUUUUCAAAGCAUCUUAAAUAAUCCAUUGCUUUCAAAUUGAAAUCGAAUAUGGCAUUUUUUUAUUUCUAACUUGUAUCAAUUUUGCUUCAAUGUUACACGGCUCUCAUUCAUUCACAAAACAUAUCAACCUACUCUUGUAUAAAUAUGCAAGUCUCAUGUACAGAUUUAUGACAUAAGCAACAAAAUUGAUCCUAUCCUCAGACAGUUGG